ACCAGGUUGAUCUCCAAGUGAGACGUAGUGGUGGAUUUCUUCUUCUACAGAAAUCCUGAAGAGAGAGCCCGGCGGAAAAAGAAGAGGCUGCGAAGAAGAUUGCACCGGCGAAAGAAUUCACUGGUCCGGUGGUCCGAAACUGCUCCUGCUCCGGAUCCCGGCUGAGGUCGAGUCGACUCGACCGUGACGACCGACAACUGGGCUGACGACGUCGCACCGACAGCGGCUACCGCUAUUCCUACACCAAAGGGUUGAUUCUGUAUCACGCAGUGUAAUGAAAAUUACAAAAGUGAGCGAAUUUAUUAAAAUAUCUACGAUCUUAUUGGUCAACUAGUAAAUUUGCUCACUUUUGUAAUUUUCACUACAUUGUAUGGAUAUAGAAUCGACCGUCAGCCUGUGGAAAAGUGAACGGUACACCGUGGCUACCACCUGCUGCUUAAAGUUGGGAAAGUGCAAGCAGUGAGAAGUAGUAAUUUAUGCUUGACGUCUNAAGGAUGAUACAAUUUAUACAUAGUACAGCAAUAUAAUUUAAGAAGUUUUGUGAAUAAGUAUAACGAUUUUUAAAUUUUAUAUAAGUAGUAAACAUUUCUAUUAAAAAAAAGUAAUAAAAGGUCAUAUAAUUGUUUUAU